rnacentral:rRNA from 1 species
GACGAACGCUUUCUUUUUUCUUAACACAUUCAAUUCGAACGUAAAGGCCUCUUUCUUUUGUUACUCGAGUGGCGAACGGGUGAGUAACACGCGAGUAACCUGCCCUUUACUUUGGGAUAACUUCAGGAAACUGGGGCGAAUACCGCAUAGGAGCUCCUGCUCCACGGGGGGGGUUGUAGAGUUUCGGCGGUUGGGGGUGGACUCUCGGCGUAUCAGCGGGUUGGUGGGGGAGUGGCUUACCAAGGCUUUGUCCGGGCUCCGGCCUGAGAGGGUGACCGGCCACAUUGGGACUGAGAUAAGGCCCAGACUCCUAAGGGAGGCAGCAGGGGGGAAGAUUGCACAAUGGGUGGAAGGCUGAUGCAGAAACGCCGUGGGCGGGAAGAAGGGGGGAGGGUUGUAAACCGCUUUCGGUCAUGACGAAGCUUUGUGUGACGGUAGUGGGUAAAGAAGCAAAGGAUAAAUACGGG